rfam:Capsicum annuum cultivar Zunla-1 chromosome 10, whole genome shotgun sequence
GUAAAAGAUUGAAAAGAAUGCAUUGGAUGGAUGCUCGGGCAUUGAGAAGGAAGGACGCUUUUAGAGGCGAAAGGCCAUGGGGAGAUAUCGUCUGUGAACCAUGGAUCUCCGAUCGGGAAAUCAUAUCCAAGCUCCAUGGCUAGUCUGCGCUCUUUGAACUUUUCAAACUUAGUGAACUGAAACAUCUUGGUAGCUAAAGGAAGGAAAAUCAACUAGGACCCCCUAAGUAGCGGCGAGCGAGAGCGGAUUGGGGGUUUGAAGAAAAACAAACAUGAAGCUUUGUUCCUCUCCUUUUAGGUGAGCUACUUCAUUCCUCAGCAAAGUGUUCACUUCUUUUUCGCCAGGUUUCAUUCAAUUUGUUGUGGAUUAGAUGAUGGAAACACCAGCAAGCUAUGGCUUCAAAGCUUGCCUUAUUUAGAAAAGGAGAAAGCAUUUUUUUAUAGAUGUUGAGGUUGAGUAAGGGGGCAGAGCUUAAAGAGCGAAGCGAGCCACGCUAGCCUAGCAACAUUUUUCAGCAGCAAGCUACGGUCUAAUGACCCCCUAACCUAGCUUGGGGCGAGAACUCCGAAAUCCAAAAUGUCGGUUAGGGUUCCUCUCCUUGCGAGCUACUUCGUUCCAAACAUUUCUCUAAUCAUAAGGUAAGCUUUCAAGCCACCGCCCUUUAAAGGAGCGGGCGCAGUGAACUGUAAUUGUGAAAAGAUUGGAAUAUCUGGCCAAAGAAGGUGAUCACCCUGUAGAUUCGUUCCCAUGGUUCGAUCCUUCCCAGCAAAACACGGUGUGUUCCAAUUCUGAUUGCUUUUACGUGAGAAAGAGGGAACACCCUCUAAGCCUAAGUAUUCCUCAAUGAUCGAUAGCAUACAAGUAUCGUGAGGGAAAGGUGAAAAGAACCCUAUUUAGGGAGUGCAAUAUAGAACCUGAGAUUCGAUGCGAACAAUCAGUCGAAGGAGUGGAGCUUAGAGCCUUCACUUUAUGUAAAGCGUACUCACUCUAAUGGCGUACCUUUUGCAUGAUGGGUCAGCGAGGAAAUGGGAACAGCGGAUUAAGCCAUUAGGUGUAGGCGCUUUCCAGAGGUGGAAUCUUCUAGUUCUUCCUAUUUAACCCAACACUGAUUGAUCUAGCCAUGAGCAGGUUGAAGAGAGCUCUAACAGGCCUUGGAGGAUCGAACCCACGUAUGUAGCAAAAUACAGGGAUGACUUGUGGCUAGGGGUGAAAGGCUAACCAAAAUCGAAUAUAGCUGGUUUUCCAUGAAAUAUAUUUCAGUAAAGCGUAUGAUGUCAAUGGCCCGAGGUAGAUCACUCAAUGGGCUAGGGUGGCCUCAUUUCACCUUACCAACCCCAGGGAAACUCCGAAUACAGGCCUAGAUCAUUUGUACAGACAGACUUUUUGGGUACUAAGAUCCAAAGUCAUGAGGGAAAUAGCCCAGAUCGUAUGCUAAGGUCCCUAAGCAAUCACUCAGUGGAAAAGAAAGUGAUCGAGCGAUGAAAACCAGGAGGUGGGAUUGGAAGCAGCCAUCCUUUGAAGAAAGUGUAAUAGCUCACUGGUCGAGCUCCAUGGCACCGAAAAUGUAUCAGGGCUCAAGUGAUUCAUCGAAGCGACGAGACCUUGAAAGCUUCUUUUUCAAGUGUCAGUAGCGGAACGUUCUGUCAAUCAGGGAGUGUUUUUGGUAACAAGACCUGGAGAUAUCAGAAGUGGGAAUACUGACAUUAGUAAUGAAAAAUCCUAUGAAAAACACGAUCGCCUGCUAGUGGAAGGUUUUCUGCAUUCAGUCAAUCUACGCAGAGUGAAUCGAUCCUUAAGGAACCCCCGAAAGGGACUAGUCCGAUGGGUACACAAAAGUGACGAAGUUGCUUUGACUACAAAACCAUGCCUGUCUGUUGGAGCGAAUUGGAUGAUCGGGCUGAGGGUUACCGCCUCUUCUCCUCACUCUCCUUUCCCUAAUAUGAACCUUGAGUCAUCAAAGCCUGCCUGGCUCGGUCGCCCUAUGCGAAUGGCGCUUGAAAAGGUGAAACUCUAGAUGUAGUUUGGUGACCUAUCUUCAGUAGGGGCCUUUAGUCUUUUGAUUAGAGUAGGGGUUGCGAGAGAGCAGAGCGUACCGCCCUAUUAUUGUCACGAGUCUGUUUAUAGUCUCCACUGUUGUCAUAGUUAAUAAGGUUGAAACUUCCAGGAAAAAACUUUGAAUUGGGAGGGCGAUCCUCCCGGUGAACUGACCGUACCCCAAACCGACAUAGGUGAACAAGUAGAGUAUACUAUGGCGCUUGAGAGAACCAUGUCGAAGGAACUUGGCAAAAUGACCCCAUAACUUUGGGAGAAGGGGUGCUCUCCUAUCUUUUGAUUAGGAAAGCGGCACAUACCAGGGGGUAGUGACUGUUUAUUAAAAACACAAGACUCUGCUAAGUGGUAACAUGAUGUAUAGAGUCAGACACCUGCAAAGUGCUGGAAGGUCGGAAGGAGAAGUGUUAUAAGAUUUUAAUGGAAGCUCCGGUAAAUGGCGACAGUAACUCUAACUGUCCUAAGGUAGCAAAAUUCCUUGUCACAUAAGUAACGACCUGGACGAAUGGUGUAACGACUACCCCGCUGUCUCCGACAUGGACUCGGUGAAAUUGAAUUCUUCGUGAAGAUGUGGAGUACCAACGGCUAGACGGUAAGACCCCAUGCACCUUAACUAUAUCUUCGCAGUGACAACCUUAAUCAAAUGUGUAGGAUAGGUGGGAGGUGGUGACACACAACGACCAAUCCUGAAAGACCACUCUUUUAUCCAAGGAUGCCUAACCGCCACACCAAUCAUUUGAGGGGAGGCGGUACACUGCGAGGUGGGUAGUUUAUCUGGGGCGGAUGCCUCCUAAAGAGUAAUGGAGUUGUACGAAGGUAGGCUCAAGCUAAGAUUCUGCUCGUGACCAUAAUGGUAUAACCCUGCCUCACUGUGAGACCGACUAGUUGAACAGAGACGAAAGUCAGCCAUAGUGAUCUAGGAGUCCUGUGUGGAAGGGCUCUCGCUCAACGGAUCAAAGGUACGCCGGGGAUAACAGGCUGAUGACUCCCAAGAGCUCUUAUCGACGGAGUCGUUUGGCACCUUGAUGUCGACUCAUCACAUCCUGUGGUUGAAGAAGGUCCAAAGGGUUCGGUUGUUCAUCAAUUCAAGUGGUACGUGAGUUGGGUUUAGAACAUUGUGAGACAGUUUAGUUCCUAUCUACCGUUGGUGUUAAAGAGAGAACUGCGAGGAGCCAACCCUAGUACGAGAGGAAUGGGUUGGGUUAGCCUAUGGUGUACCGGUUGUUAUGCCAAUAGCAGCGCCGGGCAGCUAAGUUGGUAUGGAAGAAAUGUUGUGCCAUGGGAAAUCCCUCUCUAUACAAAUUCUCAAAUGAGAUUUUUGAACAGAACUUCAAUAGGCGAGAGGUGUAAGCACUUCAAGGUGUGAAGCGAUCUCGUACUAAAUGAAAUGACUUUCACUU